ACAAGCAAGACAAUUCGUGAAACGCUAACAUACUACCAGUGUACCCACGCUGAAAACGAGAUCACAAUCCUGAAAGCAAAGAUGAUUGCUUCGCGACAUGCAAGGCACCCAUGAAGUGAGAUCAUUAUGUGCAGGACAAAGUAUGCUACAAAGUUAUAUUAAACAUUUUUUUUUGUUACAAGUUGUAUCACGAAACUUAUGCACCAAAGUUAUCAUGUAGUAAGGAUGCUGGAAAAAGUUAUGCUUAAAAUUUAUACGUGCAUGUUAAAAUUUUAUUAUAUAAAAAGUUGGUGGGAAAAAGUUGUAUUUUUUA